rnacentral:rRNA from 1 species
CCUACGGGAGGCAGCAGUGGGGGAUAUUGCACAAUGGGGGAAACCCUGAUGCAGCGACGCCGCGUGAGCGAUGAAGUAUUUCGGUAUGUAAAGCUCUAUCAGCAGGGAAGAAAAUGAUGGUACUUGCUUACGAAGCCGCGGCUAAUUACGAGCUAGCAGCCGCGGUAAUACGUAGGGGGCAAGCGUUAUCCGGAUUUACUGGGUGUAAAGGGAGCGUAGACGGCAAUGCAAGUCUGAAGUGAAAGGCAAGGGCUCAACCCUUGGACUGCUUUGGAAACUGUACUGCUGGAGUGUCGGAGAGGUAAGUGGAAUUCCUAGUGUAGCGGUGAAAUGCGUAGAUAUUAGGAGGAACACCAGUGGCGAAGGCGGCUUACUGGACGAUAACUGACGUUGAGGCUCGAAAGCGUGGGGAGCAAACAGGAUUAGAUACCCGAGUAGUC